GUGCAGGGGAGCACAGCGAACUCGAUGGCUGGAUCAGGUUAAGCGAGAUCUGUCGGAGAUCGGGUAUUCUAUAAGAUUGCUCCUAAUGAGGACAUUCCACCUGUAACGAAGUUGAGAAGAAUUGUGUUGUCUGUUUGCGUUUCGAAGCUGCCGGAUCCAUGUCCGAUCAAGAAGAUGUCUAUCAGCAGAUCGUUGGAAGCGAAUUAUAGAGGAAACUAAUGGAACAUCUUUAACAGAUCCAUCAGUAUUCUAACUGGAAAUGCAAAUUCGGGGGUUCAUUUUUAGUAACUUUAAAUUGGAUCCUUCGAAUGAAACGAACCAUAAACGGGAUGAUCUAGAAGAUUGUCACUCUCUUUUCAUCAAA